UUGUACCUUUUGCAGAGUAGGCAUUACUUGUACGAGGAAAAAUAGACAUGGCUUUUAAAGGCUAUUUUGAGAGGGAGAAGUUCAGGCCAUGCUAACCUUUUCCUAGAAGAUGCUGACGGGUGAGCAGGGAUCUUGUGUAAGGAGGUAGGGGUUCAAUUCUAUGACCUCUGGAAGAUCCUGGCAGCACGUGAGUCUCUGCUCUGUGCACACGGCCAGCGCAUACCCAUGUGCGGAAGCGCGUUGCCAGGCGUCAGAGAUGAGGAAGACAAGGAGAGAGAACAGGGAAGGGAGAAUGGAGGAGGCGAGAGAAAGGAGAGUGAAAGAGAAAACGCUCUGUCACGAAAAGCUUGAAACCUGCCUCCCAGCCUUCCCCUUGUAAUUAGUUGAUGCAGCUGGCGGGGAAGAACUCUUGUUCUGGAGGUCAGAAGUCAUAAAUGAGCCUCAAGGGAGCUGAAAUCCAGGUGAUGGCAGAGAUGGUUCCUUCUGGAGGCUCCAAGGGGAAUCUGUUCCGUGCCUCUUCCAGUUUCCAGCUGCCAUCAUACCUUGGCUUCUUGGCUCAUGGCUGCAUCACUCCAAUUUCUGCUUCCUUCAUCAGGUGGCCUUCUCCCCUCUAUGUUGCUACUGCCUGCCUCAUAUAAGGAUGCUUGUGAUUGCAUCGUUGGGCCCACUGGGAUAAUCCAGGACGAUCUCCCUAUCUCAAGGUCCUUGGCUUACACCUACAAAAUCAUAUUCAUAGGUUCCAGGGCUUAGGACAUGGACAUCCUCGGGGGGCUCUCUUCAGCCUACCACAGGGAUGGUUUGUGUUUCUAGAACACCUCUCAUCCUACCUGCCUGUGCGUUAUGCCAGUAAACAAAGCCACCAUUUAGCAAACAUGGACUCUGCUUGGAGCUGGACCGAGUGUUCCGUGUGCAGCACCGUGCUGACCCCUCACAACCCUGUCUGAUGCUGGCACAUUUACUUUCAUUCUUGUCUUAGAGAGGAGAAACCAAAGCCUGAGAUUUAAGUGACUUGCUCAAGGUCGUACAGGGAGUAAGUCAAGGACCUGAGAUUUGAACCCAGGUCUGUUUGGUUCCAAGAUCAUUUUCCUCGACAUCCCCCUCUUCCUGCCUUGGUAGCCAGCCCCCAAGAAGGCUCCCACUGGUCCUUGUCACUCCCUAUGUAGACCCCUCCCACAUGGUACCGGGAUUGGUCACUGUGACCAAUAGAAUACAACGAAAGAGGUUAUGUGUCUUCUGAGGCUAGGGCACCAAAGAUGUUGUCACCUUGCUCUCUCUCGGACACUCGGUCUGGGGAACCAGAUGCCAGGUUGUGAGCAUGCUGAAGCAGCUCUGUGAAGAAGGUUCACGUGGUAACUGAGGCCCCCUGCCAACAAACAGCACCAACUCGCCAGCUGUGUGACUGAGCCACCUCGGAAGUGGAUCCCCCAGCCCCAAUCAGGUCCUCAGAUGACUGCAACCCUGGCUGACAUCUUGAUGCAACUUUAUGAGACAUCCAGAUUCCAAACCGCCCAGCUAGGACGUUCUUGGAAACUGUGAGAUAAGAACUGUUUAUUUUUGUUUUUAGCCACUACUUGUUGAAGUAAUUUGUUAGGCAGCUAUAUACGACUAUUACAAGGCCCAAGUUUUGGAAGUCUGAGCAGGUUUUGCUCUGAGCUUUAGCUAUUUCAAAGGAGGUGCUAGUCAGGCCUUCACCCUCUGGAAACUGUGUUCCAGUCCAGCAGGUUAGGCGGCCGGCCCUGGAGUGGGGAACCCAGCAAUUCCAGAACAUUCCUCAUUCCUGAGCACUUCCCACAAAGAACAGAAAUACCUUUCAUCUAUUAUCCCGCUGCUCUAAAACCAUCAAUGGCUCCUUAAUGCCCAUAAAUGGUUCUCUCAAGCCCAAACUCCUUAGUCUGGCAUUCCACCUCGCCCUCUCUCCCAUGUCACAACUCUUCCAGGCUCGUUCUCAUUGCUCCUCAGGCUGACCCUUCAAGCCUGGUCAGACCAAGGUGUUCACUGCUGGUACAACCUCUUCGUGGUCUGCUUGCUUGCGCUGCUCUCCCCUUGUCAGUUGCAAAUGAAUGAACAAAUACAGACCAAGGAUCUGCUAGGUACUGGGAGCCAGUGAUGGAUGCUUCUAUGUGCACUGUCUCAUUUUGCACAACAGGCCAUUUUUGCAGAGAAGGAAAGCGAGGUUAAGUGACCAGCCCAAAGUCCCAUGGGAGAUAAGGAAGCUGAGGCGUGGAGAUGAGAAAUGAGCCCAGGAUCCUCAAGCUGGAAAGCAGCAGAGCCUACUUUCGAAUGGGAGCAGGGCUGCUCCAAAGUCCGCUUUUACCCCUGUGCUUUGGGCUGACAGCUGCCCUGACGAGGGAGCACGGAUGACUCAGGGGGACCCCUCCUCGACACCCAGACAGCAGUCAUC
ensembl:lncRNA